rnacentral:rRNA from 1 species
UACGUAGGGACCAAGCGUUGUUCGGAUUUACUGGGCGUAAAGCGCGCGUAUGGCGGCUUUGCAAGUCGGGUUGGUGAAAUACCCCAGGCUUAACCUGGGAACUGCAUUCGAGACUGCAUUGCUAGAGUAUGGGAGAGGGAAGUGGAAUUCCGGUGUAGUGGUGGAAUGACGUAGAGAUCGGAGGAACACCAGCGGCGAAGGCGGCAUCUGGCCCUGUACUGAACGCUCAUGCACGAAAGCGUGGGGAGCGAAACAGG